CAGUAGCCGCGGUAAUACGUAGGUGGCAAGCGUUGUCCGGAAUUAUUGGGCGUAUAGGGCUCGCAGGCGGUUUCUUAGGUCUGAUGUGAAAGCCCCCGGCUCAACCGGGGAGGGUCAUUGGAAACUGGGAAACUUGAGUGCAGAAGAGGAGAGUGGAAUUCCACGUGUAGCGGUGAAAUGCGUAGAGAUGUGGAGGAACACCAGUGGCGAAGGCGACUCUCUGGUCUGUAACUGACGCUGAGGAGCGAAAGCGUAGGGGGCGAACAGGAUUAGAUACCCCCGUAGUCCCUGUCUCUUAUAC
rnacentral:rRNA from 1 species